UCGGUGCAGCACCAGAAUCAGCAGCCAGUGAAGAAAUCGCGGCUGGAUCUUUUGGUAAAUAUUGGAGGUGAUCCUUUUGCUUCCCUGGUACCCCAGAACACCGCUGCACAGGCCUUUGGGGCCUUCCCUGCCUUCGGAGCUCAGCAGACCGCACAUCCGGGCUUCCCAGGCUUCAGUCCAUUUAGCAGUGGAGGCUCAGCUAAUGUUGGAAAUUUCCCACCGGCCAACCAAGCCCCUUUCCAGGUCCAGUCCGCAACCUCAGAUCAUUACUAUGCUGCCCUCUGCUUGGAGAAAUAAUCAGGAGGACUGUGGACACGGGGAUUGGGAUCUUUGGGCCAAGAACACCAGGAAGAAACAAAAAACAGCCUUGGUCACCUAUCAGAAGUCUCCAGUCAAAGUACAAACAAGUCAAAUGAUUGCAGGAUCAGGAUGAUGGCUUUUGCAGUUCAGUUUUGUAUGGGAGUUAUCAGAUCUCUGGUUUGUUUCAGACUAAAUACCCUGAUGGAGAUUGUGAUAAAACUCUGCACUUAACAGGCUUCAAAAAUCCGAAGGAGCAAGCUAGAACGUACAUAAGAGUCUACAGUUACAGAAAAAUAUUUUAGACACAAUGCAAAUAAUGCUUCCUUUCAUACUAAAAAAUACUUCACAAAAUUGUAAAAACCAACCUAUUUAAAAGCUAGUUAACUGUAAUUAUAUGCAAUCCAUUCCCACAAAAUACAAAUAACAAGUUUACCCUGCAAUAUUUACCUUUUGCAGCAAAACUUGAAAUCGACAUGUUAAUAUCAGAAAGUUCCACAUUAACUUUGAUCAAUGAAAUUCUCAUCAAUAGAAAAUCAUAAGAAGUCAUCUUAAAAAUACAAAUAGAAACAUAAAACAUGAACAUUGGUGUAAUCGU